GACGAACGCUGGCGGCGUGCUUAACACAUGCAAGUCGAACGGUAAGGCCCUUCGGGGUACACGAGUGGCGAACGGGUGAGUAACACGUGGGUGAUCUACCCUGCACUUCGGGAUAAGCCUGGAAACUGGGUCUAAUACCGGAUAGGACCAUGGACUUCACGGUUUGUGGUGGAAAGCUUUUGCGGUGUGGGAUGGGCCCGCGGCCUAUCAGCUUGUUGGUGGGGUAAUGGCCUACCAAGGCGACGACGGGUAGCCGGCCUGAGAGGGUGUCCGGCCACACUGGGACUGAGAUACGGCCCAGACUCCUACGGGAGGCAGCAGUGGGGAAUAUUGCACAAUGGGCGCAAGCCUGAUGCAGCGACGCCGCGUCGAGGGAUGACGGCCUCGG
rnacentral:rRNA from 1 species